UAGGUCUUCUUUCAAAGCGAGCUAAAGAAAGAAAAUGAAUAGCCAAAUUACCUUCUUUUCCCCUAGUAUGGACUCUUGACUACAGUUGGUUAUUGUUUUCAUUUGCAGAAAGGAGACGGCUAAAGAAGACAGACAUUCCACUACUGCACAGGCUCCUGCAGGGACCCUCCAAAAAGAACGCCCGCAUUUUCCUCAUGGAUAAAGAUACAGAAGAAAUUAGCAGUGAUGUGGCUCAAUACAUUAACUUUCAUUUUUCUCUCCUGGAAUCCAUCCUUCAGAGAUUAAAUGAAGAAGAGAAAAGAGAGAUUCAAAGAAUAAUAACAAAAUUCAGUACAGAAAAGGCUAUUAUACUGAAAUGUCUUCAAAGUAAACAGGUAGUAAAAACAGAGACGACAGUUUAGUGGCCGCUAUUGCUAAAACACUUCAACAAAAUCAGAGAGAUGUUACUAUUUAAUGAGUGUAUCCACCCUAUACUUGCAGUCAUGCAAAUAUAUAUGAACUCAAAUCUGUAGAAAAUUGAAUGUUGAAAAAGCUUGUCUCUCUCAGAGGUGAUGAUGUUCACAGUGGGACUGAAAUGAGCUUGAAUUUAGUUUCAGUAGCUGAAAUAAGCUUGGAUACUGUGUAUUCCAAAUAGCUUUAAGAGAGAAACAAUGAACUGGAAUUUAAAUGGCGUCUUCAACUUCACGUAGUUUAAAUGCCAUUUAGCUUGAACUGUCAAGAGAACUGGAAUAUCAACAACCAACUCUCAGAAAUGAUUCAGAAGUCAAAGCUGCCAGCUCAUGAAAUAAAAGAGAAGCAUAUACUUACCCCCAUCAAGAAAUCUGAUGGUGAUAGUCUUAUAGCUCCUUGAAAACUCUAAUAUUUUCAUAAAAUCUAGGGCUGUCUUUAUGUGGGUAGGUGACUUUUGGCAACCUGAAGCAUCAGAGCUAUAAAUCCUUUGGGAAGGAAAGGAUUGUGGACUCUUAAGACUAAUUUUCUCAACCUGAGCCCCCUUUUUUGCUGUUUUACUGAUGAC